UUAAUUAUAAUAUAUUUAUAUAUAUUUAUAAUAAUAAUCUAAUUGAAGUUUAGUAAUUAAA
rnacentral:tRNA from 1 species